rnacentral:lncRNA from 1 species
GUAGGUCCGGUAAGGGCCGAUUUUGGCCUCAAAUUUCAGGUUCAUCAAACGAAAGUUUUUGGACACUUUUUAAACACUUAAGUGUCUAUUACAAUUGAUACGAUUAGUUUAUGUGAAAGAUUUUAACUGAUUUAGUCAUUAAAAACGCUCUGAUUCAAGCUUAAAUAUGAAAAAUCUAUCAAAUAUGCCAAAAAACGUCACUUUUCAGAUGGUUUUUGUCAAAAAUGAAUGUGGCCGCAUCCGUGUUCAUCCUCAACCUUUAUAUAUGUUUUGUAUUAUCAUCAAAUACAAC